AGUGGUAGGAGAUUCAAAUUUGAAUUUGAAUCUAGGAUUUAGCGGGAUUACGCAUUGGUAUAUGUGUGUGGUUUUUGGAAGAGAGCGGAUGGGUUUCGUCGCGAAUCCGUGACCGAUUGAUGUGAACCAAAAUCGUACGUUUAUGGUCCCCGUCGUGCUGAACGCGAUGGUGCAAUCCGUUCGGAAUUCUGAUGAACGGAUUGCCGAAUAUCGCAUGAUGUUCGAAAAGGGGUCUAAAGUGACUAAUUGGAAUU
rnacentral:lncRNA from 1 species